AUUUUAAAAUGUUAAAAUAGUGAAAAUCAGAAGAGAAUCCAAAUUCGAGCUGAGAGGUUCGUUUCUUGUGUUACAGCGCCAACAGUGGUGUGCGACUUUUGUUGGUGAAGAACCCAAUAGCUGGUGGGGGUAGUGUGCGACAAUGAGUGCGGCGAUUGUGAGAUUGGAGAUAACGAAACCUAGGGUUUUCCUUUGUGACAGUAAAGAUCUCUUAUUACUAGGGUGGCAAAGUGGGUGAGAGUUCACAGACCGAUUAGGCAACCUGUAAGGACUAGUUGUGUUGCACCAGGGCCAAUAUGAACUCCUCUUUUGGAAAAAGCACUCUAAAGAGGAAACUGUUAUGAAUGCCGUAAUUUCUCAAACCCCUCUCAGAGGGAUUAGAGAGGCAGAGGAGGUGUCUUCGUUGGUGGCAUUUCUAUGCUUGCCUGCAACUUCUUACAUUACAGGACAUACCAUUUGCGUUGAUGGCGACUUCACGAUUGCACAUGCUUUUCUCCUCACCAAGGCAUUUAGUAGAAGCUGGUGCAUGCAUCAUCACAAUGGAGAAUGAGUACAAGAUGGAUUUUUCUCUUGCAGCAAUUGCAGGAUUCACAAUUUGUUGCUUAAUAUUAGGUUUUGGGCAUGUUAGCUGUAUAAAAUACUUUAUCUGAAGAUGGAAAAAGGGAAUUUGAGAAAGCAUAUAGUGCUUCAUAUUAUCCCUGCAUGGAUAUUUUGUACGAGUGCUAUGAGGAUAUCGCUGUUGGGUGUGAGAUUCGCAGUGUUGUCUUGGCUGGACGUCGCUUUUAUUAGAAAGAGGGUCUGCCUGCCUUUCCCAUGGGCAAAAUUGAUCAAACCAGGAUGUGGAAGGUUGGUGAGCGUGUCCGAUCAACAAGGCCAGCCGGUGAUCUAGGCCCAUUAUAUCCAUUUUUAUCCAUCAUAAUUGUUUCAUAUACUGCUUUUGGUAUGAGAUCAACAGAAGGAAAAACAAACUUUGUUUUCAGGUGCAUAGGUGAUGUUAUCCAGAAAGCAUGGAAUUGCUUUCCUCUGUAACACAAUGCACACUUUCAAAAUGGCAAAAUACCAACCAUAUAUGAAUGGGUUUC